CCGCAAGCAAAAUAAACUUACAUUCCUUUAUCAAAGUGGAGCUGGAUUUCUUCAAACCCUUUUUGCAUACAAUUACCUGUUGCCUGACUCGGGUUAUCCGUGCUCACAGCUGAAGGAGGGGCAGCAUCAUCAAAAUGUACCCAAAGUCACCCAGGAGCCCUGUCUAAAGAUCAAUGGGAAUCCAGAUGGAGGACUCCGGCCAGUACACGUGUACCACCAUCCUGGACUCUGAGGCGCCAGUCAGCAAAAUCAUCUACAAUCUGGCAACAUCUUCGAAUCCCGGGAGGAAAAACAUGAAAUCUAAAGAUUCUCUGGAAAAAGAGCCAGUAGAAAGGCAAAGAGUCAAGCACCGUCCUAUACUGCUAUCACCUGCCAGCAAACCCCACAAAAAAACUAAAACAUUCCCCAAAACAUUCCUUUCCCCUAC